rnacentral:rRNA from 1 species
UACGUAGGGACCAAGCGUUGUUCGGAUUUACUGGGCGUAAAGGGCGCGUAGGCGGCGUGGUAAGUCAGCUGUGAAAUCUCCGAGCUUAACUCGGAACGGUCAGCUGAUACUGCUGUGCUAGAGUACAGAAAGGGCAAUCGGAAUUCCUGGUGUAGCGGUGAAAUGCGCAGAUAUCAGGAAGAACACCCGUGGCGAAGGCGGCUCUCUGGGACGGUACUGACGCUGAGACGCGAAAGCGUGGGGAGCGAACAGG